UACAGAGGUCUCAAGCGUUGUUCGGAUUCAUUGGGCGUAAAGGGUGCGUAGGCGGUUUGGCAAGUCUUAUGUGAAAUCUUCGGGCUCAACCCGAAGUCUGCAUAAGAAACUGCCGGGCUUGAGUAUGGGAGAGGUGAGUGGAAUUUCCGGUGUAGCGGUGAAAUGCGUAGAUAUCGGAAGGAACACCUGUGGCGAAAGCGGCUCACUGGACCAUAACUGACGCUGAGGCACGAAAGCUAGGGGAGCAAACAGG
rnacentral:rRNA from 1 species